ensembl:ncRNA lncRNA:CR44695 long non-coding RNA:CR44695
CAUAUUGUCCAGGAAUAACUUUUUACUGCUCCUUCUCUUACAAACUUCGGCAACUUUCGUUUAACAUAAAAUUGCGGGCCAAAAGCAAACACAGUUGGCUAAUGUAUUGCCUCCGGGUCGCAAAGCCCGCCAGCUGACCAUUGGAUAUUGGCCAGACCCCAAAUUUUACCACACUCUCGGCCCCAAGUAGUUGCAACUUUUAAUUGCGCUCACGGAUUUACUGGCAGCAUUCUGGACAAGACCAAGACAAUGGACAAAGCUGAAGCCCCCGGCUCAACUUCAACCCUAACUUCGACUGCGCGUAGACAAAACUACUAAAUGUCAAAAGUGUCAAAAUUUUCUUAGAAUUAUGUCUAGCGAACAUCAAAAGUUGCCCGGGAAAAGUGCGCCAUGUUGCUGUUAGCCAGCAAAAGUUGCGGUUGCUCAUGCACUGCAAGAAAUAUAAUGGAAAAAAAGUUAAAUUAUUUACAUAAGUACACACAU